UACGUAGGGGGCGAGCGUUGUCCGGAUUUAUUGGGCGUAAAACGCUUGUAGGCGGCCACCGCGCGUCGGACGUGAAAUCUCCCGGCUCAACUGGGAGGGGUCGUGCGAUACGGCGGGCUCGAGGCCGGUAGGGGGACGCGGAAUUCCCGGUGUAGUGGUGGAAUGCGCAGAUAUCGGGAGGAACACCAAUGGCGAAGGCAGCUCGCUGGGACGGUACUGACGCUGAGGCGCGAAAGCGUGGGGAGCAAACGGG
rnacentral:rRNA from 1 species